GGUCACCUUCGGGGGGCCUCACACAUAGCCGGGCGCUCACGCCUGGCACUGCUAAACGGAAGACAGAAA
rfam:Pseudooceanicola atlanticus strain 22II-s11g contig10, whole genome shotgun sequence.